UAGGCGUAAGGUCAAAUACUGGCACAACGCGAGAAUAAAUGUUGUUAUAAGUGGGUCAUGCUUUGAACAUUGAAUACAACUGUGGCGUUUACCCUGUAGCGGUGUAAACUGAAUGGCCGUUGAUGUCUAUAUAUGCAACAUCUCUUAACACAAUUACCUGCCUUGUGAUGUACACGGAAAUAUUAAAUCCAGUCAAGUGAUUCGAAGUGGUCGGACAUCAUCUGGGCCCCAAUGCAUGUAAACAAUACACGCGUGUAACAUUACAACAGCAGGUGAUAGAAAAACCCCGAUGUAAUUCAAAUGACUAUAAAACACUCGGAACAUAUUGGGUAGACAGUCCGUCCGUAACCCUUGACCAAAAUAAGGAGCAAGUUUCUGUGGUUCUGUAACGAUUUAUCGGGAUGGUCUGAUUGAUAGUUGAUGCCUGUCGCUAUGUGGCCGACAAAGUUGGUCGCGUGGUGAGCAGGACUUCAAGGUUGGGCGAGGUAGGGGAGAAGUCUAAAGCUCCUAUAAAGGAUUUCAGGCAGUGUGGAGUUCCUGUCCAGGAAACCGUCAAAGGGAGUAAACCGAGCUCAAGUCCAAAUAGUGUAAAGCAGUCGGAGAAUGACGGACACGUCCGAGAUCACACGACCCGAGACACCACAGGUCUAUCAUCAUCACAGUAACUCCGCCAAACCGAAAACAAAUGAACUAUGAAUCAGAAUGGAUAUUGAUAGUGUUAUCAUGCAAGUUUGGUCUUAAGUUACAGUGUUCAGUGAUAAGUUGAAGAUUUCAGGAAGAAAUUUAAUCGAUAACCUCAAAUAAACAGCUUAUUUUCAUUCAUGAAAGCUUUCCAAAAAUGAUCAAAACAUACCCGAUAAUAUCAUAGAUUGAAGCAAUUCUUCUCUGCCUUUGAUAAAAAUAUAAUUCAUUUACAGCAAAAAGCAAGAUGUAAAUAACCUGAUGGUCAAAAUUUAAAAGUGAGUGACAAAAUAAGUAUGAAAAUAUGUGCUGAAUCUUAUAUUGCUGACGAUUUUAUGACGUAACUGUUGGUAAAGGUGUUGUCAUGACACUGGAACAGCUGCUGAAGCUAGCCCGUCACGUAAUUAUGGAAGGCACUUUUACAUAAUACGUACGUUGUUAUUUCUUAAUAAAUUGUUUUCAAAUAAUGA